GAAAACAAAACCUGCUCGGGCUACAAGGGCAAGAGUUUCUUCGCUUCAAUGAACAACCAAUCAUUCGUUCGCCCUUCCAUCUCAAUAUUGGAAAGCUAUUACAAGAACCUCACCACCGGUAGUUUCUCCUCUGAUUUCCCAGAAAAACCACCAAAUAAUUUUGAUUAUACUGGUGGGGAUCCAUUGACUCAAAACAUGAACACGAAAUUCGGCACGAAACUUAUAGUAGUGCCUUAUGGCACAAACGUAGAAAUUGUGUUGCAAGACACAAGUUUUGUUAAUUUGGAGAACCAUCCAAUUCAUGUCCAUGGUCACAACUUCUUCAUUGUUGGGAGUGGAUUUGGAAACUUCAACGAGGCCAGGGAUCCGAAAAGAUACAAUCUUGUCGAUCCUCCAGAAAGGAAUACAGUGGCAGUUCCAAGUGGGGGAUGGGCUGCUAUUAGGAUCAAGGCAGAUAAUCCAGGAGUUUGGUUCAUACAUUGUCACCUUGAGCAACAUACUUCAUGGGGUCUAGCAACUGGCUUUAUUGUCCAAAAUGGUCAGGGACCAUCUCAAAGCAUGCUUCCCCCCCCUCAAGAUCUCCCCUCCUGCUAAUUAAUCAUCUUCUUAAGCUACUAGUCAAUGCCUCGCUGCAUUUAAUGUACUUAAUUACUUUUACAUGUUUUUUUCCUUAAAUUUUUACGAGUGCAUCAAAUAGUUUUGUCUGUUACAUAUGUUAGUGAUGCUUGAAUAGGCUAGAGAUUUUCCGACAAGCUUUGUGUGCUGAUAAUCGUAGUACAGCUUGGUACAAAUUUGUGGUGAAUAGGCUAGAGAUUUUCCGACAAGCUUUGUGUGCUGAUAAUCGUAGUACAGCUUGGUACAAAUUUGUGGUUUUUGGGCGAGGCAAAGUAAUGCAGUGAGGCUAGAGAUUUUCCGACAAGCUUUUCGUUUCAUUACAUUAUUUUCCUUUGAUUGUUUGAUAAUGUAUGUUCUUUUUUUGGGAAAAAUACUAAACUGUGCACACAGAACAUAAAAAAAUCCCAGUUUACUGACAUGAACAUUCAACAAUAAGAAUUGGAUAAACAGACAACAAAAUUAAUAUGCAGACGACCAACUAUGGCUUAUGCAUUGAGGUAGCAUUUGGCGUUGUGGUAAGCAUCACAAAGCCUAUGUGGUAUUAGUCUCAUCCCCUCAUAAGCCCAUUCAAUACGAGCCUCUUAGGCAAUAUUUUUUUGGGGCAAUAAAUAGCAACUUGCUAGUUGACGAGGAGGACCCAGAAACAAAGACUGUAGAUACUUAUUAAUUAGGGGAUGAAUGUCUCUCUAAUUUAUAAUUAUGGGCUUGGAAGCUUCUCGUGUGAAGACUUUGCUAAUCUUAAUAAAAUGAGUUACCACGGCCAUUAUUUUCAUAAUGAUGACUUGAUAACAAUUUCUAUGUUUAUAGAAUCUAAAUCCCAAGAUCUUGAUAUCCCUUUAGCAAAUGAUCAAUAGCUUCAUGAUUAGCCUCGCUAAUCUAACCAUAACGAGUCGAAGUAUUUAUGCUUUUUCUUACUGAAACUUGAAAGGUCGAGAUUCAUGGGAAUGAGUCAAGGUGAUUCUAAUUAUCAUGAUAGCAUCUUGCAAGAUCACCAAAAUGUUUCAAAGAUAUGUGGUAAGUAAGCUCUAAAAGUGUUAUGAUAGCUAAGUUUAAAAAGAAGAGCAAAUGUGUUGAAGUGAUAAAGAAAUUUAAAAGUUUCUUCAAGGUGGUGGUAUCAAGACUCAAGAGUGAUUGUCCUUGAAAAUAUAUCUUUUUUCACUUUAAUUGAUUCCUGCCUGUUAGGAAUACAAUACAUCUGGCCAUCCAUAGAACCGAAAAGAAAAUAUUUCUAUUUUUCUUUGUUUUUUGGGCUACAAUCUCUACUAUUGACCUUCUAUAUUCUUCUUCCCAUGGCUAUGUAUUAUUGGAACAUGUACCGUAGCUUUUCUGAAAACAUGUUCUUUUCUUGUUUUAAUGUAAGCAGAUUCAUGCUAGAACUUUAUAUCGAUGCUUUAUAUUAAUUUCUUGUUUCCAGCAAAUCAAAUAUCAAUAUACUCUUUACUAUACUCAUCCUCCUCUCGUGAACAGUUCUGGAUUUUUUGUACUGUGCUGGGAAAAUUAAUAGGAAUGGCCCUAAGACAUUUAACACAUUUUUGAAGACUUAAUAAUAUCACAUGAAACACCGUUGACGAUCAUGGAAUGAAGGUGAAGAUUCUUUAAAUGCAGCAGCUUCCAUAGUCCAUGGCGUCUGAGCUCCAUAAAUUUUUCACGGUAACUAUUCUUACAUGUGUUUUUGAUAACUAUAUGGUUUGCAAAAGUGAUUUUUAAUUUAAAAAUACAUUGAAAUCAUUGAAAAACAUGUAAAAAAAAUGUUAAUUUGAUGUUUUUAUAGACGAGAAGCUAUUUGAAAAACAUUCUAAAAAGCUGGUUGAGCUGGUAGAUAUCGUUCAUUCUAUUUUCAUCCCUAUAAUAUGCUAUUUUUGUCACAUUAAGCCUUACACUACAAAUAUGUGCAGUCAAGCCCUUGAACCUUGUAUUUUGUAACAAGUGACGCCCUUCCCAUCUAAUUUUGCUUUAGGAUGAAAGUUUAACCAUUAAUUUGAUCAUAGAAAAAUUCACUAAAAAAGUAAAAUAAAAGCAGUGUUUGUGUGUAUAUGGGGAAGAGAGAGAAUUUUUUUUCUUAAAAAAAAAAGAAGCAAAAUAAAGGACGAACCUUUCUGGGAGGAACAUGAUAACGAGAAGGUUUGUUGAAAUCAGAAGCAUGUAGAUCACUACGCAUGUACCGAUGAACACAUUCUCCAGAGGAAUUAGUGCUGUGUUGAAUCAAUCCUGCCUGUCUUGCAGACUCAAAAUACAGUGUGAUUGGAAGGUCAUUUGCCUGGUCCCAGUUUCCGAAUGCUGGUAUUUGUCCACUUCUUCUCCAUUCUUAAUCAAGACAAAACACCAAAAAAAAAAAAAAAAAAAAUCAAAUUUGAAGGCAAAUGAAAAGAGUUUCUUGAAAUUAAAAAGAGGGAUAAAAGAAAACAACAGAAAGAAGCAAAAUCUGAGAGAGGUUGAAAAUAAGAAGCCGAGAAAUGGCAAGAGAGCUUACAUCCAUUUUGGUCGAUUAUGGCAGUAUAACGCAAGAAGCCAAAGAAGAGACUGAAACAAAAAUGUGCUAUAAAGGAUAGAGAAAAAGAUAGGAGCUUGAGAAGGGAAUACUAAAAAGGUUAAAAAGAAGGAUAUGAGAAUUCUCAGAAUAAACAAUUCAAGAUAAAAGAUACAAAUUCUAGUUGACAAUUGCAGAGAGAUUCUGCAAAGAAAGAUACAUUUCAGCUCUUUCUAGCGUAAAAGGUAGAAGUAUAUAGUCUAAAAGAGUAAAAGCUGAAUGAAAAGAGCUUCGGCAGGUCUUUUUGUGUUGCUAGGUUUCUUGCCAGAGUCAGACCGAAAUAUAUAUAGUUUUAUUAAUGUUGAUGUCUGGGUCAGUUUAUACGUACCUUGAUUAAUUUUACUGUCCUGAAAUUAAUGAUCAUAUAAGCUUCCAGUAACCCCAAGGUUUGCGUAACUCAAACUGGUAAUCUCUAAGAAGCAAAUCUAGAACCUGACUAAUAAACUAACAUCAAUCUUGAAACACGUGUAGAUUAAGGUGCUAAGACCUAUCAAACACCAUCUUAACAUGUUUUUUAAAUUAUAUUUAAUAUAUAUUAAUUAUAAAAAGUACCCAACAAUCUUUAAAUAUAUAAUAAAACCAAUGAAAGAUGACAAAAAAAACUCCUAUAAGAGAAUUAAGUUGGUUUUUACUUUAAAAAUAUCAAAGUAAUUACACUAUUUAAAAACAUUAUACCAAUCUAACCUUAUAUAAUUUGUAAGCAUGAUAUUUUUUUUUUAUUCUAGAGUUAAAUUCAUAUUUUUACUAUGAAAAUAAAAUAAAAUCAAAUGGCCAAUCUAACCCUAUACCAUUUAUAAAAAAUAAUUAUAUCAUAUUAAAAAGAUCAUUUUACCCGCCAUGCCUAGUUAAAAAGUUUUCUGAGCUAAGAAAAUUUCAUCAAAUCACAGUUACAAUAAAUAGUAAUUGGAGUCUUGAGCUAAAUUAACUUUUCAUUCACCUUUAGUAUUUUUCCAAAUGGUACUGUAUGAGUUUUUUUUUCUUUCUUUUUAACAGUGGUAAUUAAUUGAUUAAGAUGAAACUCAAAUUCAAAAUAUUGUAUAAAAGAGAUUAAAACUUGAUAUCUUUUAUAUAUAUAAAAAAUUAACAAAAACCUAAAAAGGUAUAGCGUAUGUAUUGUUCUUUCUCUGUAUCUAGGGGAACACUGUGAAUUAUAAUAGUAUUUUCUUUUUUAUCCUUUAAUUUUAUUCCACUUAGUCAUCAAACUUUUUUUUUUAAUUUUGUCCUUGUAUAUUGUGUUGAAUGGGGAUUUAGCUUGAUUAUUUUUUUCAGUUUACUUUCUAAAAGGUUUUCUAAUGCUCUAUUUGUUUUUGCGUUUCAAAAGCGCUUAUGAAAAAAUUUGAUUUUUUUUUAUUUUUUUUCUUUGCUUUAAAUUAAUAUGUUUUUGGUGUUUUUAGAUCAUUUUGAUGUGCUAAUAUCAAAAAUAAUUUUUAAAAUAUAAAAAAACAUUAUUUUAACGCUUUUCUGAGUAAAAAACACUUUGAAAAGCAACCGCAACCAUUUCCAAACAGGCCCUUGUAAAUGAAAAUCUCGAUGUUGGGUUAAUGCUUGAUUUCAAAUGAAAAAAAUUAGUUUUGUUGCUUGAAAAACAAAUUGGGGACCAAAAUUAACAAUGAGAGAGAUUCAACUUUUUUUUCUUUCAAUAUUGUUUAAAGGGCAUUUCUUUAACAUUUUUUGCCUUAAAAUUUUGGCCAAAUUCAAUUCUGGUCCCUUAGUUUGAUACUAUUUUGUUUUGGUACAAAACAUCAUUUUGUUCAUAUUUUAGUCCUUAGGUUUGAGAGAUCCGAGAGAAAAUCACUUUUAAACAUAUAAGAAGAGAGAAAGUCAUUGGUUCUCUACACCACAACAACAAAAAAUGGUUGAUAUUGGUGUCAACGAGUUUCAUUUGAUGAGAUAAAUUUUAUUUAGUGUUUUUAACCCAUGAUAUCGCUUGGAAAUUUAGAUUGGGGCAUGUGAAUUCUUUUUCAUUUCGAGUUGAUUUUUGGUUUUCUAAUAAAUUAAAGGUUGUUUUGAGGUUAUUUAUGAGUUUGUUGAGGUUUAUAGGGUAUUUUUGUAGGUGGUUUUAGAUGAGAAAUAUGUUUAUUUGGGCACCAAAGAGUGGAGCCUAAAUUUCCUUCCACCUUAAAUGGCUAGAGGAAAAUUAGAAGGUAAAGUUUCACCUAUUAUUAUUUUUUAAAUAAAACAAAAGGAGGUGGAUUAUAUUAUAAAGAAAAAAAAGAGGCAUGACGUAUGGGCUAGGCCUUGUUUGUGGGCUAAACACGUAGGCCCACCUAAGGCCACACAAUUUACUUGUUUUGUUGUUAGCUUUUUUUUUUCUAGAUUUUUUUAAUUAAAAACCAUUAAAAUAUAUUAAUUAAAAAAUAUUUUAAUAUUUAUUUUUAUCAAAUUCCAUUAAAUUUUCACUUUGUUAUUUUGACUUAAUUAGAUCAUAGCCUUUUUUAUAUAUAUAUUGGUGAGUGCUCUUUUUUUACAGUACUUCAUAGUGUUUUAUUUAUUUAUUUAUUUGACCACUAUAUAAUUUUUUUUGAAUAUUUUUGAUUAAAUAGCAUCUUUUCUCAUAUUAUAACAUUAGAAAGCACUUUUUUUUGUACAACCUUUCAUUAGUUUUUUUUUUUAAUUUAUUUGAUCGCUAAAUGUUCUUUGGAUAUUAUUUGAUUAAAUCGACUUUGAUUUCAUUUUAUAACAUUCAUUUUUAUAACAUUAGUAAACACUUUUUUUGUGUGGCCUUUCACGAUGAGUAUUUUUUCUUAAAUUUUAUUGGGUUGAUUUUUAUUAUAGUAUAAUCAAAUAAAAAAUAUAUUCCAAAAAGAUUAACAACGAAUCCUGAAAAGUUGAAAUAGGUUCGAUAUGAGUGACACAAUGAAAACCUAUCCCAAGGCAUCAAUACUAUUAGAAUAAAAACCCCUACCUGACGAAUACUAAUUUGUGACGAGAAGUAUAAGAAGAUACCAUAAAACCACUUAAUCUUUGAUAAAUCAAUUUAGUUUUUAAGAGAACUAAAGAAUGCAAGAACCUUUCUCACCUAAGUUGAAUAAAUUCAGAAGCAAUAAUAUUAUCAAUUCUAAAUAAAAAAAGUGUCUUACAUUAAGUUUUUAUACUCCAAAGAAAAAUAACCUAAUAGAUCUAUCCUAGUGAACUGAUUUAUACCCACUUACAAAAUUGAUUCAAAAUAGAUGAUCAAACCUGAAAUUCUAAAGAAACUAUUAAGCCCAAACAAGUCUUGUGCUAUAGCUAAAAACAAUUAAAACCAAACAUAAGUUAAUUUCAAAUAGGCUUUGAGUUGUAGCUAAAACAAAUAGGCCAACUAAGCCUAUAAAAUAACAAAUGUAAUGUUUAAAAAACCUAAACAUACUAAGACAAAAACCAAAGUUGCCGUGACUUUGGUGUUGGGGUGGUCUUCAAGUUCUCGUUGGGCUGGGUCAAUUUUGACACCACCAUUAAAGAGUUUUCCAUAACAAUGUACAUCCAGUUUAUUGUUAUGAUUUUUUUAAUGCAUUGUUAUCAAAAUUAUUAUAAUUAAAAAAAACAUAUAUUCAGGCAAAAAAAGAGUUAAGUGAAAGAUAGAGCAUGGUGCUAAGAAUAAAAAGAGAUUUAAAUUAAAGAGAAGUCUCUCUUUAAUAUCAUAAAACCAGACGAUAGGAAACAUUGAACCUAAAACAACCUCUUUAGUCAAUUCAGUCCUUGGACUUGCAAUGGACUUGAUCAACACCUCAAUUAGAUUCGUUAAUGUCAUAAACUAAUACGCAUCAUCCAGGUUAUGAGUUUGACUAGUUAACUCGAGUCAAUUCAACAUGGCUUUGUCUUAUUAUAUAAAAGGAAAGGGUUCUAACUACACCAUUUUGAAAAAUUUUAAUCUUUGAUAUAAAACUGGGUUUUAACCGGGUCAAAUUUGAACUCGUUAGGUCGACUAGAUCACAUCAGGUCAAGUCCCUCUUGGUUCAAUUUAAAACCUAAGCCAAGCAUGAGGUUAGGUUGGGGUGGUCUCCAAGUUUACUCGUUGUGUUGGGCCAGUUUUGACGCUAUGAUCAAAGAGUUUUCCAUGAUAAUGUGCAUCCGGUUUAUUGUUUUGAUAUUUUCUGAAUGCAUUCAUUUCAAAAUUAUUAUAAUUUAUAAAAAAAAAUAUAUUCAGGCAAAAAAAAAAAAAGUUAAGUGAAAGAUAAAGCAUAUUUCUAAAAUAAAAAGAGUUUUAAUUAAAGAGAUGUCUCUCCUACUCUUAUUUCAAAUCUUCCAAAAUUUUCACGGGUAAGAUAAAAUAAAUCAUGGUAUUUUAUUUUUUGUGUUAAUAUUUUUUUUUCUGACUAAAUCACGGUUCAAUUAGCUAGUUAGUACUAAUUAAAUUACAGUUUAUUUAUAGUUUUUUUUAUUUACAUUCAAAUGAGAGCAAAGCUAUUUAAUUUCAAAACCCUUUUAGAAAUCUUUCAAGAUGAAGAUGGCAUCUACACCAUGAUUUCAUUUUUAACAGGUAACGAUAUGGAAUUAUGGACGCCAUAUUGAGACAAAGCAAAAGGAAGAAUAGCUCUUGGAAAGACAGCAUAUAAGAAUUUACCCCUGAACAAUAGAAAUUGAUGGAAAAGCCAUAGAUAUUUGACUGGUUCCAGCUGAUAUUUUGUUUGUUUUUUAGUUUCAAAAAUAUUAAAUUUUUUAUUUUAAAUAAUGUUUUUUUGAUAGUUGUAGUUUAUUUUGAUAUAUUGAUGUUAAAAAUAAUUUUUAAAAAAUAAAAAAAUAUUAUUUUAAUAUAUUUUCAAGUAAAAAAACACUUUAAAAAAUAAUCACUAUCACACUUUCAAUCUCAAUCAAAAUGGUAUUAUACUUUAAUAUAGCUUGUUUUAAUCACAAGAGUAUCUAUUGUGAUUUUGUAAGAAUAUGCUCAGUUACCAGUAGCAGCCACUAAUCAUCCCCAUCCCAAGCCCUAAAACCACCGUAGAAAUCAGCUCCAUUUCAGCAGCUUUCAAAAGUCAUUUUUGGAUCCAAAACAAUUUUUUUUUGUUUUUUUUGUAUAAUUUGUAGCAUGUUAUUAUUGAAUUUUAUGUGUGUUGCAAAAUACCUGAAGUGAUAUGGUUUGCGUGUGGCAACCCUCAAGAAAUAAAGUCGCCAUGAAUUUAUUUUUAAUUAGUAUGAUAAUGUUCAGGAUGAUGAGUUGCAAGAGGUGUAAUGAUAUUCAAGAUGUUUUUUUUUUUUUUUUUUUUUUAUAUAUAUAUAACGGCACUCAAUUAUUCAUCUGACUAUCAUAUUACAUUCACGGCAUGUCACAAAAUCGACUUUGAGCGGCAUUUUCUUAAAAGUCAUAGUAUGAAAAUCCUAUUGUAGUAUAUUCACGAUAACAGUCAACAAUUGUUAUUGACUUUAGUGAUGAUUAUAGCAUUACUGAUAUUGGAUCUAUCGGUGUGUAAUGGCGUUAGCUACCUGAGUGAUUUCGACAUAGACUAUUUCUAUUUGUUUUUAUGUUUUAAAAAUAUAUUCUCUUCUCCUUUCUAGCCCCCAACUUACAUCAACACCAAUCUUGUAGGAAACUACAACGAAUUUGUGCUGUCGUGGCAAACCAAAAGAUACUGGACUAGUCCACUCCUGGCUCGAUUCGAACUCACACCAACCCACCUAACUUUUGAUCUUUAUUAAGAAUCCAGUUAGUGUGCUAAGUGACAAGGGAGUAGGAAUGAAAUUAAGAAAAUAAUAGUCAUAGUGUUGGGUUUGAUGCUGAUGGUGAUCUUCGUUGCCAUAGAAAAGUUAAGCCCAUCGAACAAAUUUGUGGUGGAAUUUCAAUUAAGCUCUGCUAGAAAUGUCGUUGGGCGACUGCCACUAUUCACCUACCGCAGCAUCAGAAAAUCCUGUCCUUGUAUUGAAUUGAUAUAAGUAGGUUUUAAAGUAUUAGAGAAUCGCAAACUUUCUACCUGUAUAUAUAUCUCCUGGGUGCGUGAAUGUUUUUUGUAACUUGUGUAGGCUGUUGUGCUCUAGUUCAUAGACCAUCUAGGAGUGGCAGCAAUGGAGGCCGUGCGCAAACAUUAUGGUAUUUUGCUAGCAUCACUAGCUAUAAUCGCCGCGGCGUUACCGUGUUGUUCUUCAGAAACAACUAGAAGGUUUCAAUUUAAUGUAAGCCAUACACAUAUCUUAGAGAUAUUAAACCUCUCUUAGUAGCCUUUUCAACCAACAAGUAGACUUAUAGGAAUGAUAUAUAUAUGUAUAAACACGCAAAUUUAAUACAACGUUUUCAGGUUGAGUGGAAGAAGGUGACACGUUUGUGCACAACGAAGCAGCUUCUAAUGGUGAACGGGCAGUAUCCAGGCCCAACCAUAGCUGUUCAUGAAGGUGAUAACGUUGAGAUUAAGGUCAAAAAUCGGAUUGCUCAGAAUACUACCCUUCAUUGGUGAGUUUGGAUCCAUCCUAGUCUAAUUCAUAUUUUCCAAUAUCCGUAUAAGCAACUAUUUUUUAACUAUAUGCUAAGAGUGGCACUGUAUGCUGUCAUGUUGUCAUCAUUUUGGCUGCAGCAGAUGCUUCUCUCAUUGAAAAAACAACGUCUGUUUGAAAGAAUGGUAAUUUUUAUUUUUGAUUUUUUUUUAAAAAAGUAGAUAUACCUUGAAAAAAUAUUAAAUUAAUUUUUUUUAAUGUUUUUAUUUUAUUUUAAUAUAUUAACAUAAAAAAAUGAAAAACAAAUGUUAUUUUGAAGUAUUUUCAACAAAAUAUAUGCACUAUAUACCAUAAUACCAAUUAGACACAAAGUAAUAACCCAAAAGAACCUUGCAGUUUUGUUGCAUAGGGAAAGGUAUCAAGUUUAAACCCUAAAAUGAUUUAUUAAAUUAUUGAACCGAACUAGAGGGUAAGUGAUAGAUUUGGGUGGUUGUCUUAAUGAAUCAUUCUCAAGUAAAAAAAAAAAAACUAUUACUAUUCAUAUCAUCACCAGCAUCGUCGUUAUUACAAGAAAAUAGGAAAGAGUUUGUGAUGUUUAAACGGUAAAACUAAGAUUAACAAUACCAACUGAAGUUGAGAUCUUGUAAUAAAUUACAAGGGUAAAAAGGAGUGUUUAUUUGAAAAACAUAUGUGCACAUGCGGAAUAAACUAAUCACUAAGACUCUUUCUAUCGACUAGUUGGUUCAGUAAUCUUGUUGGCCUUCCUGUCUUCCUCUCCCUUGAUUUUUAAUAUAAAAAUUUAAAUUCUUAUAUAAAAUAUUAAGAUAUAAUUUAUAUUAAUUUAUAAUAUUAUUUUUAAAUGAAAGCUUUCUAAAGUUAAAACUUAUAUAGAUUCAUAAUACCUUAUACUUAAUUUUUAUCAAAUAAAUAAGGAAGGUAAGAUUCGAACUCAUGACUAUUUAAUCAUUAAGACUUUGAUAAUAUGUUAAAGAACUCAUUUAAUCUAAAAAUUUAACAACUAAUGUUAUCAAAAUAAAAUUUAAAUUACUAUAUAAUACAAAGAACAAACACUACCACCUUUAUGGUAUGACAACCGGCAUUUUCUUACGCAACACAUGUAUUGAAGUUUAUCUGACACGUUUGACAAACAAGUUCAUGUUUGUGUUCGAAAUUUGAACGUAACAGGCAUGGUGUAAGGCAGCUAAGAACAGGAUGGGCUGAUGGACCAGCUUACAUUACCCAAUGCCCCAUCAGAGGAGGCCAGUCCUACACCUACAAGUUCACUGUUACUGGCCAAAGAGGGACACUACUAUGGCAUGCUCACUAUGCUUGGCAAAGGGCAUCUGUUUACGGUGCUUUAAUCAUCUACCCUCGCAUCCCAUAUCCAUUCUCACACCCAAUUCAAGCUGAAAUCCCCAUCAUUUUUGGUAAUAAUUAAAUGUUUACUCUUUUCAAAGAAGAUAGAGAGACACAGACGAGUGUCUAAUAUUGUUAGUUAAUUCUUGACGUGUUUUAUGUGUAAUAAAAUGCAGGAGAAUGGUGGAAUGGGGAUCCAGAUGAAAUUGAAAAAACAAUGCUGUUAACAGGAGGAGGGCCAGACAGUUCCAAUGCCUACACCAUAAAUGGAUUACCAGGACCUCUCUAUCCUUGCUCUAACCAAGGUAAUUGUAAGACCACUGUCUCUCUUUACAUUUCUUAGCACUACAAAAAAUGAAGAUGACCUGAAAUGGUUAGUUUGCUAAUUUUAUUUUGCAGAUACUUUUAUUCAGACGGUGGAAUAUGGCAAGACCUAUUUGCUUAGGAUCAUCAAUGCAGCUCUAACAAAUGAGCUCUUCUUUGCGAUAGCGAAACAUACGUUGACAGUAGUGGAGGUUGAUGCAGUCUACACUAAACCCUUCGCAACCACUUCCAUUAUGAUUGCUCCUGGACAGACCACUACUGUUUUAAUGACUGCAAACCAAGUUCCAGACUUCACAGGCAUGUUUGUCAUGGCAGCAAGGCCUUAUCUUACCUCUGUGUUCCCCUUCAACAACUCCACCACAAUCGGCUUCUUGAGGUACAAAAAUGCAAGGACCUGGAAAGGAAAAUCCCCAGUUGAUCCGAGCAGCCUUAGACUUCACAACCUUCCAGCAAUGGAAGACACUGCAUUUGCCACAAAAUUUUCGGACAAGAUUAAAAGUCUUGCAUCUCCUCAGUACCCAUGUAAUGUGCCUAAAACAAUUGACAAACGAGUGAUAACAACUAUAAGUCUUAACCUUCAAGACUGUCCAGAAAACAAAACCUGCUUGGGCUUAAAGGGCAAGAGUUUCUUCGCUUCAAUGAACAACCAAUCAUUCGUUCGCCCUUCCAUCUCAAUAUUGGAAAGCUAUUACAAGAACCUCACCACCAGUAGUUUCUCCUCUGAUUUCCCACAAAAACCACCAAAUAAUUUUGAUUAUACUGGUGUGCAUCCAUUGACUCAAAACAUGAACACGAAAUUCGGCACGAAACUUUUAGUACUGCCUUAUGGCACAAACAUAGAA
rnacentral:lncRNA from 1 species